ensembl:lncRNA
GUUUGAAAUGUGUGCAGCAUGGCGUGUGCACAGCGAUCUGCUAAAGAGUACCUCAGAAACAACAGGAAAGACCUGGUGACUGGCAUGAAAAACCUUCCUCUGAUCAUUGAGAAUCUUUAUCAGAAGAAGGUUUUCAAUGACUAUGAGGUCAAAGAUCUCAAAGCCGAGAGGACAGAGUAUGAUCAAGCCAGAUGUAUAUUGGAUUGGGUCGUUAACAAAGGAGAUGAGGCCAGUUAUGAAUUACUCAAGAUUCUGGAUGUCACUAAGAAGAGGACAUUAGAUCCUGGUUUACACCACUGGAUCAGCUGUUCUCCCUUCAGAGAUGAAGACGCAGAGCCCAGCUAUUCAUUUGGUACAAAGCCUUGUAAAAACUACCAGAAACAGCUCAAGGACAAAGCAAAGGAGAAAUGUUUCUUUAAAUAUCUGUUGAAGACACAAGGAAACUUCAGUUUCAUACCUCUUGUUUUAGAGACCGACUCUGAGGUAAAAUCACCUCAAUGCAAAAUAAAUUUGAAAAGUAAAAAAUGCAAAAAGCUUCGGCCCAAGAAGCUGAGAGCUUACAUUCCUAACGAGGGACAAGCGCUAUCACCCGAGGACCUCCUGAGAUGGCAGGACAAGAACAUCCUCAUCAUCGGCAAACCUGGAGUAGGAAAGACUACAGUUGUCCAGGAAAUGCUGCGUCUUUGGGGAGAGAAGGAUGGAAGAGAGAUAGACUACAUGUUUUACUUUGAUCAAUAAUCAUGUUCUUCUAGAUGUCAUCUUGAAGAAUCAAGAGCUGUUCAGUCUUAGUCAUGUCCCAUUGUAUGCAUUCAUGAUUGUAGACUUGAUUAAGUUUAAAAAUGACACUGUAUGCAACCAUCCACACACAGUCACUGAAAUGUACAUCCACAUUUUCCGUCUUGCUGUAAAGAAACAUGGGAAUAAACAAAAUAAGCAAAUGGAUAUGUAUCUAAAAGAGAAGAAAGAUCAGAUUGAUCCCUUGAUGGAAAAUGCUUUCAGUGCAACUAAGCAGAAGUGCCUGAACCUUCCACAUAUUAGCAGUGAUGAGACAGACAUUUGUCAUGCUUUUCUGAAAAUGAUCACAACAACAGACUCGCCAACAUCUGCAACAACAUACUGUGCGUUUCUCCACAACACAAUGCAGGAAUUCUUCUCGGCUUUGUGGCUUCUUGGACAUCCAGAUGAAAUUGAGGAAGUCCUACAGCUCUGUCAGACCGAGGAGCAUAAACACAUGAGACAUGUUCUUCCUUUCUUAUGUGGACUUCUGAGUGAACACAACACCAGACUCCUCAAGUGUCUCUUCCCAGAGGAUCAGAUAAAGAAAACAUCUGACUGGUUCAUUGAGAAGCUUUUGGACACGUUUCUUCAACCUCAGAGUGAGAGUGAAGAGUUUGAUCUUCUCUAUGUGUGUCAGUGCUUGUAUGAGCUCCAGUCUCCUAAAGCCUGUUUAAUUUUCUUGGAGAAGAUGAACCAUCAGCUUGAACCAGAAGUGGAUCUUGAUCCUCAUCAGUGUUGUGCUCUGUCUUACGUGAUCAGUCAAUCCAGAGAUAAAGAGGUUUAUCUGAAUCUGGACAACUGUACCGUAGCUGAUGUAGGAAUGGACAUGAUGCUUAGCUGCUCACCAAACAUCAGGUUAAAGACUUGUAAAGAACCACUGAAGCAAACCACGUUCUUUGUAGAAUUCUUCCAUAAAUCAUCUCAGUGUGACUGCAAACUUUUUGAGGUGAGAGGACGAUACAAGCCAGAAACAUUCAAUGCUCUGCUGGAUCUGUACUCUCAUGUGAAGAACUAUGAGACUCAAACAGGCAGGAGUUAUCUUCCAGCAUUACAGUCAGUUUUCCAGUCACCUGAUGAAUGGAUCAUAGAUCUCUCAGAGAGAAAGAGCUCGGUCCUCCUGGAAGUGCUGAAGCUCCAGACAGAGAAGAAAACAGUAGAGCUGAGAAGAUGUUCAGAGGAAGAGAGUGAAGUGAUGAGUUUCCUUCAGUGUCUGCCACACAUCUCACAGCUGAGUUUCUCUGAUCUGAGUGAAAGUGAUCUAAGCAGAUUUCUUCUGAGUCUCUUCAUUAAAGCAGCAGAGAUUGAGACACAGACAGGAGAGCAGAUGCUGGAACUGUUAACAUCUCAUCUUGAAUGGACUGGCAUAUUUUAUGAUUGUGAUUUCCUGCUGGAUCUGUACUCUCAUGUGAAGAACUAUGAGACUCAAACAGGCAGGAGUUAUCUUCCAGUAUUACAGUCAGUUUUCCAGUCACCUGAUGAAUGGAUCAUAGAUCUCUCAGAGAGAAAGAGCUCGGUCCUCCUGGAAGUGCUGAAGCUCCAGACAGAGAAGAAAACAGUGAAGCUGAGGAGAUGUUCAGAGGAAGAGAGUGAAGUGAUGAGUUUCCUUCAGUGUCUGCCACACAUCUCACAGCUGAGGUUCUGGGAUAUUGAUUAUGAAGAAAGGAUGUCUGCAGAAAGAUUUCUGCUGGAUCUCUGUGUUGCUGCAGUAGAAACUGACAGAAAUACAGGAACAAGAUUCUCCACUCUGCUCUCAUCUGUGUGCAGCUACAAAACCUUCCCUUUUAAUUAUGAUGGUGAUAAUCAGAGUGAUUUUCUGCUGGAUCUGUGCUCUCAUGUGAAGAACUAUGAGACUCAAACAGGCAGGAGUUAUCUUCCAGUAUUACAGUCAGUUUUCCAGUUACCUGAUGAAUGGAUCAUAGAUCUCUCAGAGAGAAAGAUCUCCGUCCUCCUGGAAGUGCUGAAGCUCCAGACAGAGAAGAAAACAGUAGAGCUGAGAAGCUGUUCAGAGGAAGAGAGUGAAGUGAUGAGUUUCCUUCAGUGUCUGCAACACAUCUCUCAGCUGAGGUUCUGGUUCAUUUAUAAAGAAUCAAGGAUGUCUGCAGUAAGAUUUCUGCUGAAUCUCUGUGUUGCUGCAGUAGAAACUGACAGACAUACAGGAACAAGAUUCUCCACUCUGCUCUCAUCUGUGUGCAGCUACAAAACCUUCCCUUUUAAUAAAGAUGGUGAUGUUCAGAUUGAUUUCCUGCUGGACCUGUACUCUCAUGUGAAGAACUAUGAGACUCAAACAGGCAGGAGUUAUCUUCCAGCAUUACAGUCAGCUUUCCAGUCACCUGAUGAAUGGAUCAUAGAUCUCUCAGAGAGAAAGAGCUCUGUCCUCCUGGAAGUGCUGAAGCUCCAGACAGAGAAGAAAACAGUAGAGCUGAGAGGAUGUUCAGAGGAAGAGAGUGAAGUGAUGAGUUUCCUUCAGUGUCUGCCACACAUCUCACAGCUGAGACUGCCCAAAGAGACUGUCCAGAAACUUGCUGAAUGUGUCUGUGAAGCUCAGGAAGAGGAACUGACUCGAUGCUUCCUGCAGAAAGUGAGCGGGGAUCUGACUUCCUGUUCCUUGAGCUGGGAACAGCUUCAUUAUUUCCUGCAGCAAAGAAUUCAACAAAUCACUGUGGACUUCAGAAAGAGCAACAUUCAAUGCCGAAUCAGUGAAAUUCUGCCAUUCCUGAACAGGAUUCAGUUUAAACGGAUGAGCUCUAGUUUCAUGCUGUGUGCAAUCAGAGAGAUCUACGAGUCCGGCUCUGCUGGGUUUGUGUCCGGUCUGUUGAGUUCAGUGGAGAACUACAUUAACCUGCAGAGCAGAGAGCUGGACUCUGUUCACUGUGAAGCCCUGCGCUUCACACUGCAACACUGCACUGCAGCUUCACUCAACCUGCUCUGGACCUCCAUACCAGAGGAAGAGCUGCAGAGCAUUCUGCCUCUCUUCACGCAUCUCUCCCACCUCAGUGUUGACAGACUGCUGUUGCUGAAGAUGCUUCACUGCUGCAGUGUCUCUGAUGUCCAGCAGGAGGCAGCAUCAGUUCUGCUCUCGAUCCUGCAGCACAAGCUGGACUUCUCCUGCCGGUCUGCUUUGGAUCUGACAACAAACACAGACUCAGAGCCUCUACAUCUGACCGCUGACGACUGCCGUGUGACGUCCAGAUUUAUUCAGAGAGCUCACUCAGACACAAAGACACGGCUGAUUCUGCAGGACUGUGAGAUUCAUACAGCUGGAAUGGAUCAGCUGUUCCCAGUGUUACGUUCUGUUCAGCUCUGUUGUGAUAAACCUCUGCUUCUUCAGUUUCUGGCUCACGUGAGGCCUGAGGAAGCCCAGUCUCUCUCUGGAGCUCUGGGUGAAGAGCUGGAUCUCAGUCAGACUCAGCUGGAUCUGCAGGUCUGGAGAGGUCUGGAGCUGAUUCUGGAAUAUUCUGAAGGACUGACAGAACUGGAUCUGAGUCAGUGCAGUCUCACCGAUCACAGCCUGGAUCUGCUGCUCCCAAACCUCCACAAA